rnacentral:lncRNA from 1 species
UCCUCGCGAAGAACGAUCCAAUACAAAACUGAUAAUGUGCUUGAUUACAAGAGAAAAACUGAUAAAACUAUAUUCCGAUAUUCUACGAUACUAAAACUACUUGGAGGCUAGGGUUUUUACACUUGAGAAAUUAAAAUGCUUUGACUAAGUCAACCGGGCCUCGUCCGCUGCGAAAAUCCAUCAGAAAAGCUGUAAAAAUCGGCCCGGAGAACUUCUGGAGGGCGCGGCCGCGCUAAACUAGCGCAGGCGCGCUAGUGGCAGCAGUAGGUAGCGCGGGCGCGCUAGAGGUUAGCGCGGGCGCGCUACUGUCUGCCACUGGCAGCCCUAUUCUUCGUUUUUCAGCUCGUUCUCGCGUGCAUGUCCUUCCUCGCUCUAGUACCACUUCCGUAGGUGAUCACGGUUGCAUUUAGCACAUGCAACAAGCCCUUUAAACCCCUAGAUAGCUCUAGUGGACGAGUGUGUUCUCGUGAGGGUUUGUAGAAGAUGUACCCACAAAAUCCCAAGUCGUGAUGAAUCCACAAUUCUCUAUUCUUGCAAAUAAUGCACCAAAAACAACCUAAAAUGAUAGAAAAUCACUUCAUCACCUCAACUCGUGACCUGCACAGAAAAACACUAAAAACACAUCAAAAGACACUAAACACUUAAGUACAACCAACCAAUUUAAGUGGAAAUGAAGGCCUAUAAGUGUGUAUAAAUACCACUUAUCACACCCCCAAACUUAAACUGAUGCUUGUCCUCAAGCGUCAACGACACUAUACAAUAAUACAAUGCAAUGCAUGAAUGCAACUACGUGAUGAAUGAGUGAACUAUGAAGUAAUUGCCUUGCCAAUUAUAAUACCUCAGAUUGUGCUAAUGUUCUCGAAUUUCAUCUCUCUCGCUACUAAGUCAAUUACUCUUCUAUUUACAAGUGUGGAGUGCCAGUGUGUGCAAGCAUGCUCUUUUAUUGAGACAAGACAAAAACUAC